rnacentral:rRNA from 1 species
GACGAACGCUGGCGGCGUGCUUAACACAUGCAAGUCGAACGGAAAGGCCCUGCUUUUGUGGGGUGCUCGAGUGGCGAACGGGUGAGUAACACGUGAGUAACCUGCCCUUGACUUUGGGAUAACUUCAGGAAACUGGGGCUAAUACCGGAUAGGAGCUCCUGCUGCAUGGUGGGGGUUGGAAAGUUUCGGCGGUCGGGGAUGGACUCGCGGCUUAUCAGCUUGUUGGUGGGGUAGUGGCUUACCAAGGCUUUGACGGGUAGCCGGCCUGAGAGGGUGACCGGCCACAUUGGGACUGAGAUACGGCCCAGACUCCUACGGGAGGCAGCAGUGGGGAAUAUUGCACAAUGGGCGGAAGCCUGAUGCAGCAACGCCGCGUGCGGGAUGACGGCCUUCUGGUUGUAAACCGCUUUCGCCUGUGACGAAGCGUGAGUGACGGUAAUGGGUAAAGAAGCACCGGCUAACUACGUG